CUUUAGCUGCUUGGCUUUUGAUUCGUGUG
rnacentral:piRNA from 1 species